CAGCUACAUCCAUGUCUUGAAGGGCUUGUAAAUCAGAAACUCCAACAUUGAGUGAUGUGAUAUCAUUUUUUAUGGAAGUUGUCAAUUCCUGAAUUUCCUUGCUUGGAUCGUCGAAAAUUGAUGAUCGCUUUGCCAAUUUAGCUAGCCUAUCGAUUUUCUGAAAGGUUUGAUGGAUUGUCAAUCCGAUUCUCGAAGCCUUCUUGUUGAAUUCAGAUCGAUCUGG
rnacentral:misc_RNA from 1 species